AACGAACGCUGGCGGCAUGCCUAACACAUGCAAGUCGAACGAGACCUUCGGGUCUAGUGGCGCACGGGUGCGUAACGCGUGGGAACCUUCCCUUAGGUUCGGCAUACCUCCCCGACAGGGGUGCUAAUACCGGAUAAUGUCUUCGGCCCAAAGAUUUAUCGCCCUAGGUUGGGCCGUCGUUGGAUUCGCUAGUUGUGAGGGUAAUAGCCUCCCAAGGCGACAAUUAAUAGCUGGUUAGAGAGGCUGGUCAGCCACACUGGGAGGGAGAACCGGCCCAGACUCCUACGGAAGGCAGCAGAGGGGGAUAGUGGAAAACGGGCGGAAGCCUGAUCGUGUUAUGCCGCUUAAAUGAUGAAGGCCGGGAGGAUGAAAAGCGCAUUUAACCAUGAACAUAAUGACGGUACCGAAAGAAUAAGCUCCGGCUAACUCCGUG
rnacentral:rRNA from 1 species